rnacentral:rRNA from 1 species
CAGCAGCUCGAGUGGUGAUCAUUAUUAUUGGGCCUAAAACGUCCGUAGCCGGUUUAGUAAAUGCCUGGGUAAAUCGUGUAGCUUAACUAUACGACUUCCGGGUAGACUGCUAAACUUGAGACCGGGAGAGGCUAGAGGUACUCCUGGGGUAGAGGUGAAAUUCUGUAAUCCUAAGGGGACCACCAGUGGCGAAGGCGUCUAGCUAGAACGGGUCUGACGGUGAGGGACGAAGCCCUGGGGCACAAACCGGAUUAGAUACCCGAGUAGUCC